rnacentral:rRNA from 1 species
AAUUUAAGCAUAUCACUAAGCGGAGGAAAAGAAACUAACCAGGAUUCCCUUAGUAACGGCGAGUGAACAGGGAAAAGCCCAGCACCGAAGCCUGUGGCCGUUUGGCCUCUAGGCAAUGUGGUGUUCAGGUCUGCUCGCGGAGAUGCCGCUCCACCCUAAGUCCUGUAAUGAGUAAGGUUACUCGGACGUGGCCCAUAGAGGGUGAAAGGCCCGUGGGGGUGGAGGCGCAGUUUGGUCGGUGUCUCUAUGAGCGGACCUUGGAGUCGGGUUGUUUGUGAAUGCAGCCCAAAGUGGGUGGUAAACUCCAUCCAAGGCUAAAUACUGGCACGAGUCCGAUAGCGAACAAGUACCGUGAGGGAAAGUUGAAAAGUACUUUGAAGAGAGAGUAAACAGUGCGUGAAACCGCUCAAAGGUAAACGGGUGGAGUUGAACUGCAAGCUCCGGGAAUUCAACUGGUGAGUAUGGUGUGAGCUUGGCACACGGUUGUACGUCUGGGUCUGCUUAGCUGCAGGUCCCUGCCUUUGGUGGGGAUGCGCGUAUCACUUAUCAUGUGUUGUGCGCCCGGCCCGUGUCGAACUAUCUCGCCAGUGCACUUUCUCGGAGUAGUCACCACGACCGGCGUUGCUGUCUUGCUGUUGCGGUUAAACCGGCCUUGUAGGGUCCAUGUGAUCUUGCUUGGUCGGGACGGCAGGUAGCCCGUUGUGUACUUUUGUGCGCCUCGGGUGUAAUAGCUGACUGCAUCAGUUUUGUACGGUACGUCGGAGACGGCGGCUUGUAGUGCGUGCGAUCGCGCCCAGUACGCUGGCGGCGCUGAGUCUGGUCUGUCAUGUUGCUUGUGAACGCAGGCCUGGCGAUGGCUCGGUGUCGUUCGGUGUGCGGUUGCGUACGUGGCACUUUAAAGGGCCAACAGUCUGUGGUGUAGUGGUAGACUAUCCACCUGACCCGUCUUGAAACACGGACCAAGGAGAGUAACAUGUGC